rnacentral:rRNA from 1 species
CAGAGGGUGCGAGCGUUAAUCGGAAUUACUGGGCGUAAAGCGCGCGUAGGCGGCUUUUCAAGUCGGAUGUGAAAUCCCCGGGCUUAACCUGGGAACUGCAUUCGAGACUGUCUAGCUAGAGUAUGGGAGAGGGAAGUGGAAUUUCAGGUGUAGCGGUGAAAUGCGUAGAUAUCUGAAGGAACAUCAGUGGCGAAAGCGACUUCCUGGACCAAUACUGACGCUCAUGUGCGAAAGCGUGGGGAGCAAACAGGAUUAGAUACCCUGGUAGUCCACGCCAUAAACGAUGAGAACUGGAUGUCGGGAGGGUCUGCCUCUCGGUGUCGUAGCUAACGCGUUAAGUUCUCCGCCUGGGGAGUACGGCCGCAAGGUUG